GCGGAGAACGGAACACACAUUCCCUUCCAACACUAGUCAAGGUUUGAGAACCGUGUGCUCCGCAGAAGCAACAUGAAGGUCCUGGUACUUCUGGCCGUUCUCGCCAUGUUCGCCGUGGCUUACACUGUGGCGGCGCCGCAGUACUACGUCGGCGACGCCCUGCACUACUACGGCCACUACGCGUCGCCGUUGGGAUACUACCACUCCUAUUACCCGUACUACUACUACGGGCGCUAGAGGGCGUGGAACUCCUGCUGCCCUUGGGAUGGCGUUCUGAAUUAUCACUCCGUCCCGAGAGCACAGCACCGCGGGAGCCACACCACAACCAUCUGUACUCUGAUUCCUUCACCUCCAAAGCUACAAGAACCCCAGCUCUGAUCACCCUGACUACAGCUCCCUCGAUUACCACAAACUAUUGCUCACUGCUCGACUAUUGGCUUCUGAAAUAAAAUGUUUCCUAAACACUA
rnacentral:lncRNA from 1 species